rnacentral:rRNA from 1 species
UACGUAGGGGGCAAGCGUUGUCCGGAAUCAUUGGGCGUAAAGAGCGUGUAGGCGGCCCGAUAAGUCCGCCGUGAAAGUCCAGGGCUCAACCCUGGAAUGCCGGUGGAAACUGUCGGGCUGGAGUCCGGAAGAGGCGAGUGGAAUUCCUGGUGUAGCGGUGAAAUGCGCAGAUAUCAGGAGGAACACCAAUGGCGAAGGCAGCUCGCUGGGACGGUACUGACGCUGAGACCCGAAAGCAUGGGGAUCAAACAGG